rnacentral:lncRNA from 1 species
CCCAAAUCUCCGUCUGUCCCCGGUCACGGAUGCCCAGUUUUCUCCUUAUGUUGGUGGAAUGGCCUUCUCUCCUACUUCAUCACCCGGAUACAGCCCAUCAUCACCAGGCUACAGUCCGUCAUCUCCUGGAUACAGUCCCACGUCACCUGGAUACAGCCCAACUUCGCCUGGAUACAGUCCCACCUCGCCUGGAUAUAGCCCUACCUCACCAACUUAUAGUCCAAGUUCUCCUGGUUAUAGUCCAACCAGUCCUGCCUAUUCUCCUACCAGUCCAUCGUACUCACCUACUUCACCAAGCUAUAGCCCAACCUCCCCAAGUUACAGCCCAACAUCCCCAAGCUACAGCCCGACCUCUCCAAGUUACAGCCCCACUUCUCCCAGUUACAGUCCAACUUCACCAAGCUAUAGCCCCACCUCACCGGCAUAUAGCCCCACCUCACCUGCAUAUAGCCCCACCUCACCUGCAUACAGCCCCACUUCACCAUCGUACAGCCCAACCUCUCCUUCCUACAGCCCAACAUCACCUUCGUACAGCCCUACCUCACCGUCAUACAGCCCCACUUCUCCAUCGUACAGCCCCACUUCACCAGCCUAUAGCCCCACUUCUCCUGGUUAUAGUCCAACUUCACCAAGUUAUAGCCCAACUUCACCAACCUAUAGUCCUACAUCCCCAAGCUACAAUCCUCAGUCUGCCAAAUACAGUCCGUCGCUGGCCUACUCACCAAGUAGUCCAAGAUUAUCUCCUGCCAGUCCGUACAGCCCUACAUCUCCAAAUUACAGGUAAGCCAUAGUGCGAUAUGUGGUCAAGUCUAAUGUUUGUGUUAAAAGCUGUAUCCAAUUUAUUAGGUCUUGUUUUUGAUAGAAUUCUAUAUACUGAAAUAUCUGUUGAACCUAAGACUUGCUGUAGCUGGGGAUUGGACUUGGAUGGGUUUAAAUUAUUAAUGAUUUUAUCUCUGUUGUUUUUAACAUUAUUAUAUCUGGAUGAUUAUGUUGAUGUAUCUUGUAAGCAACUUUUCUUUUUACGCAGUCCAACAUCAUCUUCGUAUUCACCGACAUCUCCCUCUAUGAUACUGGACCAAUGAUGAGAUGUUCAUUUGAAGAAACGGUUGACAUUCUUCUUGAUGCUGCAGUCUUUGCAGAAUCAGAUUAUUUGAGGGGGGUCACUGAGAAUAUAAUGUUAGGUCAGCUUGCGCCUAUUGGGACAGGAGACUGUUCAUUGUAUCUCAAUGAUGAGAUGCUGAAAAAUGCCAUCGAACUUCAGCUUCCUAGUUAUAUGGAAGGUCUGGAGUUUGGCAUGACACCUGCUCGUUCUCCGGUGUCUGGGACUCCUUAUCAUGAUGGCAUGAUGUCUCCAGGUUACUUGUUUAGCCCAAAUCUCCGUCUGUCCCCGGUCACGGAUGCCCAGUUUUCUCCUUAUGUUGGUGGAAUGGCCUUCUCUCCUACUUCAUCACCCGGAUACAGCCCAUCAUCACCAGGCUACAGUCCGUCAUCUCCUGGAUACAGUCCCACGUCACCUGGAUACAGCCCAACUUCGCCUGGAUACAGUCCCACCUCGCCUGGAUAUAGCCCUACCUCACCAACUUAUAGUCCAAGUUCUCCUGGUUAUAGUCCAACCAGUCCUGCCUAUUCUCCUACCAGUCCAUCGUACUCACCUACUUCACCAAGCUAUAGCCCAACCUCCCCAAGUUACAGCCCAACAUCCCCAAGCUACAGCCCGACCUCUCCAAGUUACAGCCCCACUUCUCCCAGUUACAGUCCAACUUCACCAAGCUAUAGCCCCACCUCACCGGCAUAUAGCCCCACCUCACCUGCAUAUAGCCCCACCUCACCUGCAUACAGCCCCACUUCACCAUCGUACAGCCCAACCUCUCCUUCCUACAGCCCAACAUCACCUUCGUACAGCCCUACCUCACCGUCAUACAGCCCCACUUCUCCAUCGUACAGCCCCACUUCACCAGCCUAUAGCCCCACUUCUCCUGGUUAUAGUCCAACUUCACCAAGUUAUAGCCCAACUUCACCAACCUAUAGUCCUACAUCCCCAAGCUACAAUCCUCAGUCUGCCAAAUACAGUCCGUCGCUGGCCUACUCACCAAGUAGUCCAAGAUUAUCUCCUGCCAGUCCGUACAGCCCUACAUCUCCAAAUUACAGGUAAGCCAUAGUGCGAUAUGUGGUCAAGUCUAAUGUUUGUGUUAAAAGCUGUAUCCAAUUUAUUAGGUCUUGUUUUUGAUAGAAUUCUAUAUACUGAAAUAUCUGUUGAACCUAAGACUUGCUGUAGCUGGGGAUUGGACUUGGAUGGGUUUAAAUUAUUAAUGAUUUUAUCUCUGUUGUUUUUAACAUUAUUAUAUCUGGAUGAUUAUGUU